rnacentral:rRNA from 1 species
UACAGAGGGUGCGAGCGUUAAUCGGAGUUACUGGGCGUAAAGGGCGCGUAGGCGGUUAUAUGAGUGGAAUGUGAAAGCCCUGGGCUUAACCUAGGAAGUGCAUACCAAACGAUAUGACUGGAGUAUGGGAGAGGGUGGCGGAAUUUCCGGUGUAGCGGUGAAAUGCGUAGAGAUCGGAAGGAACGUCGAUGGCGAAGGCAGCCACCUGGCCCAAUACUGACGCUGAGGCGCGAAAGCGUGGGGAGCGAACAGG